AAAAUAUGAUGUUUUGUUAGUGUGGCUUCACUAGCAAUAUUUUAUGUGGUAAGUGUCGUUGAUAUUAGAUCAAUAGGCAUGCUAAUUGUUUGGCUUUUGAAGAUUAAUGCUGGAAGUGGUUGUAGUUGACACUCCAUUAAGUUAUAGAGGUAACUACCUACUUGAUACACAUGCAUAAGUAUUUUAUUACUGCCUGUGUUUAUCGCUGCUUGUCAAAUGCUUUGUUGUGGGGGAGAGAUUGUUUCGAUUGAUAUGCAGUUCAUGAAGCACUGCACUCUCAUGAUAUGAUUCUCAGUUUGCUGAUUUCUUCACCAAAUCUGUCGUCACAAGGUUGUGUGAACCAAUGGUUCUGUUUUUAUGUUGUUUGUGAUAUACUUUUCUUGAUCAUGUUUAUAG